CAUAGAGAGAUCAGGAACUUCCAUCAAUCAGAGACCUUACAGAGGCAAGGGCAGAAGGAACCUGCCAAAUUAAGCAAACAAGGGAUAAAAAGUCCUACAGCCCAAGAUGGAGGUCAGAAGACGAAGAGUUAACAAAACUCAAGUGGUGUCAAGAGGCAGCUGGUGAAGUUCCUGCCUAUGCUUUAGAAAAGCAUUUUUCAAACAGAGCACUGAUCAGCAGUGGGUCAGGAAAUCAAUUUUGGGGGUCAUGACCAGCAUUUUAAGAGACCAAAUGGGACAAAAAAAUACCAGCACACAGUACACAUAACAGUAAAUACCGUUUUGCUGAAUGUGUUACAUGGCUGUACGCCUGUGUUGGGUUAAAUGUAAGAAGCGUAUCAUUGUGGGAUUUGAAAGGCCCCUAUUGAAAAAAAAAAGCCUGAACAUUCAAAAUCUGUCCAACUUUUUUUUUUGGAGAUGCAGUUUCGCUGUCAUUCAGGCUGGAGGGCAGUGGCGCAAUCUUGGCUCACUGCAACCUCGACCAGCCAGGUUCAUAUCUCAGCCUCUCCAAUAGCUGGGAUUACAGGCCUGCGCCAUGCCCCGCUAAUUUUUGUACUUUUAGUAGAGAGGGGGUUUCACCAUGUUGGCCAGGCUGGUGUCGAACUCCUGACCUCAGAUGAUUCGCCCACCUUGGCCUCCCAAAAUGCUAGGGUUAUAGGCGUGUGAGAUGGAGUCUCGCUCUGUGGCCCAGGCUGGAGUGCAGUGGCGCAAUCUCGGCUCACUGCAAGCUCUGCCUCCCGGGUUCACGCCAUUCUCCUGCCUCAGCCUCCAGAGUAGCUGGGACUACAGGUGCCCACCACCACGCCCGGCUAAUUUUUCUUUUGUAUUUUUAGUAGAGACGGGGUUUCACUGUGCUAGCCAGGAUGGUCUCGAUCUCCUGACCUCGUGAUCCGCCUGCCUCGGCCUCCCAAAGUGCUGGGAUUACAGGCUGAGCCACCGUGCCCGGCCCCAGAUCCUUUCUUAAAGGUAAAAGAGCAACGUCUUAUUCCAGAAAUCUUUUCCUCACCUAUACUACAGC
rnacentral:lncRNA from 1 species